rnacentral:rRNA from 1 species
GUUCGUACUGUGAAGCAUCCUGUUAAGUCAGGCAACGAGCGAGACCCACGCCAACAGUUGCCAGCAUGGUCUCCGGACCGAUGGGGACACUGUUGGGACCGCCUCUGCUAAAGAGGAGGAAGGAAUGGGCAACGGUAGGUCAGCAUGCCCCGAAUUAUCCGGGCUACACGCGGGCUACAAUGGACAGGACAAUGGGUAUCGACACCGAAAGGUGAAGGCAAUCUCUUAAACCUGCCCGUAGUUCGGAUUGUGGGCUGCAACUCGCCCACAUGAAGCUGGAAUCUGUAGUAAUCGCGUCUCAAAAUGGCGCGGUGAAUAUGUCCCUGCUCCUUGCACACACCGCCCGUCAAACCACCCGAGUGAGGUCUUGAUGAGGCUGCGGUUGUCGCCGUGGUCGAAUCUGGGUUUCGCAAGGGGGGUUAAGUCGUAACAAGGUAGCCGUAGGGGAAUCUGCGGCUG